CUGAGUCUGACUCACUGAGUUUUGUGAUCGAGUCAAACAAAGGUGAGCUUGGGAAAUAAUGGCGUAGCUCUACUAGCUCAAGUUUGAGCUCUCCCAUAAUGAGUACAUCAAGCUUGUCCUCCAUCUCCUGCCUCCUCUGGAGAUCUCUCUCAUGAUGACUUCGAAGGUAUGAGAAACUACAGAGAUAAUGUUAAACUGCAACAAGGUUUUAGAACACCGGGCAGCCCUUAGCGACGAUCCCUUUCUCUGUUGGGCAAUUUGCCAAAGGGCAAUGGUCUGUGUUCUCAUUCCCCCACCAAUCUGGUAAGCUUAUGUUAUUGUUCUGUAACGCAAAGUAGAUCAACACUCCCAUAACCGCAGUGCCUGCAUCAAGAGCUGCAGAGAGGAUGUAGUUAUGCCUUGCCCACCAUCCCUUGUACCUCCUGAAGAUAUAGUAGUUGAACACGAUCCCAACAGCGAACCACGACCAGUAAUGCACAGCCUUGGCCAUUGGCAUCACAUUAGCCCCUGAGAAGAUCAAGGGAAUAUGAAUCUGAUGUAUCCACUUCUUCUCCGGGAAUUUCCUUGCAAAGAACCAGACCGGGACAGGAGCAAGGAAGCCAAUGAGGAAGAACCAGUUCAUCCCGGGGUAUAUACCUUUACUUGUGAACAUCCUUCCAGGACCGAUGAUUCCCCAAAUGAUCGACGCGUUGUAGAACACUACAUCCCCAGGGCAAGUCCACGGACUACUCUUUGGGAGCAUAUCUGUGUUACAGAUGUUCUCGACUGAAGAAAGCAACCACCAUGUGGUCCCGAAGGAGACAGUUGAAGCAACAAUAGUCGCAACGAGUUGAACGAUGAACAUAGAUCUCGGAGGAAUCUUCAUGUAGUGGCCAAGUUUGAAGUCUCCGACAAAGUACAAGGCUUGAGCUAUACUCACAGAACCAUAAGUCUUAAAAGCCACAUUGGCAAGUGGCUUUCCCGGAUACAAGAACCCGAUGAUCAGUUCCGAUAUAACAUUAAGACCCAUUCGCUGGUUUGUGGUCGCUAGGAUAACUCCAAUAGGCAAAGUGAAGGUAAAGGCGAUGGCACAAGCGAGUAAAAGUCCCCACCAUGGGAGCUGAAGCUGUUUGCCAAAUCCCUCACAUGCAUAAAGAGCUAGCACAAAGGAAGCAGCGAGAACCGCAACGAACCACCAUUGAGGUACUUCCUUAUAAUUCUUCUUCAUCAAUCUUGUAUGCACAUCUCCAAACUUGUCCUUUGUCGUCAAUGUUGCCUUCUUCCACAGCUCCCAGAUAAACCUUCAUGUAAACAACCACAACAACAACAAAAAAAUAUUUUUCAUGGAAACUGAUAAAUUGAUCUAUACAGUAUUUUGAGACGCAGAGUAGAGAAAAAAAGAAAAAAAAAAGAAUCUUACUUUCCGUCAAAGAGGGCGACAUGAGAAAUGGUUGCGGUAAGGGUACCGAAGCUGAGCCCAUAGAUCAGAGCAAACAGAAUGCUAAGGUAAAGCUUGCUAUAGCUUUCGUAAGCAGGAAGAUCAAUAUUGAAUGUUUUCUGGUUGAGGAUACGAGUGGUGUUGUAACGCUGACCAGUGUGAUCAAAUGGGUGAGAGGUAUAGAAAGGAAACUUCUUUGCCUCGUAAGCGUUGCUCCAGUAGAAGAUAGGAAGGAUGAUGUAGAAGAAGAUGAUAAAUCCGCCAAAGGAAUUGGCUAUAGCGAAGAACGGUACAGCUAAAGGACUGCCUAAGAAACCUGCAACCGUGGACCAAUCAAGACCAAAUGAGCCAAUGCCGAGACCGUGCAGCCCUGAACCGAUCUGUUGAGCGGUUACAGAGCGGGUCCAUAUCCAGCAGACAAAGGAGAGAUAUGAGAUGGAAGGGAAAAGAUAGCCUGGGACUAUGUAGUAAGUGAAGCUCAGGAAGAAGACUAUCAAGAAGAAUCUAAGUUUCGUUUGUUUUCCUUCACGCUUCUCCUCCUUCUCAUGUAAGGCUCUAAUCCAUCAAAAAGUAAAAUUUCGUGACAGUUACAAAUGUGAAUGAUUUGGAGAAAAAAACACGAACCUAAAGAGAGAGACUUGAACAAGAUUUGCAGGCCACCACAUGUAAGGUGAGUCCACUAGGUAUUUCCUGAACAUACCCGCCCAUCCAUAUCCCAACAACUACAUGACAGAUAAAUAAUGUAACUGUUACAAACAAAAACUAUGUAAUUUUUGAAUUAUAUUGUAUAUUGUGUAUACAUACCUGAGUGGUUUGGACAAGCAACAUGGCGGCGG
rnacentral:lncRNA from 1 species